rnacentral:rRNA from 1 species
GACGAACGCUAGCGGCGUGCUUAACACAUGCAAGUCGAACGGAAAGGCCCUGCUUUUGUGGGGUGCUCGAGUGGCGAACGGGUGAGUAACACGUGAGUAACCUGCCCUUGACUUUGGGAUAACUUCAGGAAACUGGGGCUAAUACCGGAUAGGAGCUCCUGCUGCAUGGUGGGGGUUGGAAAGUUUCGGCGGUUGGGGAUGGACUCGCGGCUUAUCAGCUUGUUGGUGGGGUAGUGGCUUACCAAGGCUUUGACGGGUAGCCGGCCUGAGAGGGUGACCGGCCACAUUGGGACUGAGAUACGGCCCAGACUCCUACGGGAGGCAGCAGUGGGGAAUAUUGCACAAUGGGCGGAAGCCUGAUGCAGCAACGCCGCGUGCGGGAUGACGGCCUUCGGGUUGUAACCCGCUUUCGCCUGUGACGAAGCGUGAGUGACGGUAAUGGGUAAAGAAGCACCGGCUAACUACGUG